rnacentral:rRNA from 1 species
CCUACGGGAGGCAGCAGUGAGGAAUAUUGGUCAAUGGUCGGGAGACUGAACCAGCCAAGCCGCGUGAGGGAUGAAGGUACAGAGUAUCGUAAACCUCUUUUGUCAGGGAACAAAGGCGGGGACGCGUCCCCGGAUGAGUGUACCUGAAGAAAAAGCAUCGGCUAACUCCGUGCCAGCAGCCGCGGUAAUACGGAGGAUGCGAGCUUUAUCCGGAUUUAUUGGGUGUAAUGGGUGCACAGGCGGUCUGUUAAGUCAGCGGGCAAAGCCCGGGGCUCAACCCCGGCCCGCCGUUGAAACUGGCAGUCUCGAGUUGGAGAGAAGUAUGCGGAAUGCGCGGUGUAGCGGUGAAAUGCAUAGAUAUCGCGCAGAACUCCGAUUGCGAAGGCAGCAUGCCGGCUCCACACUGACGCUGAGGCACGAAAGCGUGGGUAUCGAACAGGAUUAGAUACCCGGGUAGUC